rnacentral:rRNA from 1 species
AUGCUACUUAUUUGGUGGGCCGACAAUCUGAUAUUAUGUAUAAUUGAGUGCCGGACAUGUAAAUAUUCCAAAGGUUCGACUGGCAGGCCCUCUUCCAGAAUUCACAACCAUCACAACACUAUUAUGGCGUACAUUUCAUAUUAUAAGGAAAGGAGACACCACAUAAGCUUGCACAAUGCACACUCUAAUGGAAUAAACAGGAUUAUAUAUAGCAACCAUAAGAGUUCAGUAAGUGAUGAACUCAUUACCUUGCAGACAGUCACAGUUCUCAGCCUCCUUCCUCACAACAUCCAAAACAGAAUCGAUAAGCUCAGCACCCUCGGUGUAGUGGCCCUUGGCCCAGUUGUUACCCGCACCAGAUUGCCCAAAGACAAAGUUGUCAGGGCGGAAGAUCUGCCCAUAAGGCCCAGUGCGGACACUGUCCAUGGUACCGGGCUCAAGGUCCAUAAGAACAGCACGGGGCACAAAGCGACCACACGAGGCCUCAUUGUAGUAGACAUUGACACGCUCCAACUGCAGGUCAGAGGUACCGGUGUAGCGCCCAGUUGGGUCAAUGCCAUGCUCAUCACACACCACCUCCCAGAACUUGGCACCGAUCUGGUUGCCACAUUGCCCACCCUGGAUGUGCAGGAUUUCCCUCAUCUUCGCCCUGGAAACAGAAGGGAGACGCAUAGCCAAAUUAACACCAGAGAUUGCAACAAUAUCAGAUAUUGGAGCAUGGAUAGGAACAUAAGUAACCGAUGUAACAAUCGGUAG